CGUUUAUUUGAUAGUGCCUUACUACUUGGAUAACCGUGGUAAUUCUAGAGCUAAUACAUGCUAAAAACCCCGACUUCGGAAGGGGUGUAUUUAUUAGAUACAAAACCAAUGCCCUUCGGGGCUCUUUGGUGAUUCAUGAUAACUAUACGAAUCGCACGGCCUUGCGCCGGCGAUGGUUCAUUCAAAUUUCUUCCCUAUCAACUUUCGAUGUUUGGGUAUUGGCCAAACAUGGUUGCAACGGGUAACGGAGGGUUAGGGCUCGACCCCGGAGAAGGAGCCUGAGAAACGGCUACUACAUCCAAGGAAGGCAGCAGGCGCGCAAAUUACCCAAUCCCGACUCGGGGAGGUAGUGACAAUAAAUACUGAUACAGGGCCCUUUCGGGCCUUGUAAUUGGAAUGAGUACAAUUUAAAUCCCUUAACGAGGAACAAUUGGAGGGCAAGUCUGGUGCCAGCAGCCGCGGUAAUUCCAGCUCCAAUAGCGUAUAUUAAAGUUGUUGUGGUUAAAAAGCUCGUAGUUGAACCUUGGGCCUGGCUGGCCGGUCCGCCUCACCGCGUGCACUGGUCCGGCCGGGCCUUUCCCUCUGUGGAACCCCAUACCCUUCACUGGGCGUGGCGGGGAAACAGGACAUUUACUUUGAAAAAAUUAGAGUGCUCCAGGCAGGCCUAUGCUCGAAUACAUUAGCAUGGAAUAAUAAAAUAGGACGCGCGGUUCUAUUUUGUUGGUUUAUAGGACCGCCGUAAUGAUUAAUAGGGACAGUCGGGGGCAUCAGUAUUCAAAUGUCAGAGGUGAAAUUCUUGGAUCAUUUGAAGACUAACUACUGCGAAAGCAUUUGCCAAGGAUGUUUUCAUUAAUCAGGAACGAAAGUUAGGGGAUCGAAGACGAUCAGAUACCGUCGUAGUCUUAACCAUAAACUAUGCCGACUAGGGAUCGGACGGUGUUAUUCAUGACCCGUUCGGCACCUUACGAGAAAUCAAAGUGCUUGGGCUCCAGGGGGAGUAUGGUCGCAAGGCUGAAACUUAAAGAAAUUGACGGAAGGGCACCACCAGGGGUGGAGCCUGCGGCUUAAUUUG
rnacentral:rRNA from 1 species